UUUCCGUAGGUGAACCUGCGGAAGGAUCAUUAUUGUAUAACCGAGGUGCGAGGGCUGUCGCUGACCCGAAAGGUCGUGCACGCCCGAGUGCCCUCACACACAUCCAUCUCACCCCAAUGUGCACCACCGCGUGGGUCCCCCUUGGGCUUGUUCGGAGGGGGGCUUACGUUUUCACACAAACUUUGUAUGCAGUGUAGAAUGUAUUUUUUGUUUUUGCGAUCACGCAAUCAAUACAACUUUCAACAACGGAUCUCUUGGCUCUC
rnacentral:misc_RNA from 1 species